rnacentral:rRNA from 1 species
CGGAGGAUCCAAGCGUUAUCCGGAAUCAUUGGGUUUAAAGGGUCCGUAGGCGGUUUUAUAAGUCAGUGGUGAAAUCUGGUCGCUCAACGAUCAAACGGCCAUUGAUACUGUAGAACUUGAAUUACUCGGAAGUAACUAGAAUAUGUAGUGUAGCGGUGAAAUGCUUAGAGAUUACAUGGAAUACCAAUUGCGAAGGCAGGUUACUACAAGUGGAUUGACGCUGAUGGACGAAAGCGUGGGGAGCGAACAGGAUUAGAUACCCUGGUAGUCCACGCCGUAAACGAUGGAUACUAGCUGUUCGGAGCAAUCUGAGUGGCUAAGCGAAAGUGAUAAGUAUCCCACCUGGGGAGUACGAACGCAAGUUUG